UACGUAGGGUGCAGGCGUUAAUCGGAAUUACUGGGCGUAAAGCGUGCGCAGGCGGUCUUUUAAGUCAGAUGUGAAAUCCCCGGGCUCAACCUGGGAACUGCAUCCGAGACUGCAUUGCUAGAGUAUGGGAGAGGAAAGCGGAAUUUCUGGUGUAGCAGUGAAAUGCGUAGAUAUCAGAAGGAACAUCAGUGGCGAAGGCGGCUUUCUGGACCAAUACUGACGAUCAGGUGCGAAAGCGUGGGGAGCAAACAGG
rnacentral:rRNA from 1 species